ACAACAACGUUUCAGUUUUGAGUUGUUGAACUGGAAGGUUUGAAUCUACUGUUAAACCCAGCAGCUGGUCUCCAGCUCACUGAGCGACAUCAUGGGCGGUGAACAGUCUGGAAGGAGUCACAGAUAAACUCACCACCUGAAACAUGGGGACAGUUCUCCUAAUGGUGAUGAAGAUAUGAACAAACAAUAAACAAUAAAAACUGUAACAAUGAACUUCCCAGGAGCUGGGAGAGAGAGGCCACACCCACAUACAAGAGGGGAGGGGGACUAGAGCUGAGACAGAACCAAUGAUGUGGAGGCUGACAGUCAUGUGAUGUUUCAACA